GGUGUAGCGGUGGAAUGCGCAGAUAUCAGGAAGAACACCGAUGGCGAAGGCAGGUCUCUGGGCUGUAACUGACGCUGAGAAGCGAAAGCAUGGGGAGCGAACAGGAUUAGAUACCCUGGUAGUCCAUGCCGUAAACGUUGGGCACUAGGUGUGGGGGACAUUCCACGUUUUCCGCGCCGUAGCUAACGCAUUAAGUGCCCCGCCUGGGGAGUACGGCCGCAAGGCUAAAACUCAAAGGAAUUGACGGGGGCCCGCACAAGCGGCGGAGCAUGCGGAUUAAUUCGAUGCAACGCGAAGAACCUUACCAAGGCUUGACAUAUACUGGACCGCAUCAGAGAUGGUGUUUCCCUUCGGGGCUGGUAUACAGGUGGUGCAUGGUUGUCGUCAGCUCGUGUCGUGAGAUGUUGGGUUAAGUCCCGCAACGAGCGCAACCCUUGUCCCGUGUUGCCAGCACGUUGUGGUGGGGACUCGCGGGAGACUGCCGGGGUCAACUCGGAGGAAGGUGGGGAUGACGUCAAAUCAUCAUGCCCCUUAUGUCUUGGGCUUCACGCAUGCUACAAUGGCCGGUACAGAGGGUUGCGAUACUGUGAGGUGGAGCUAAUCCCUAAAAGCCGGUCUCAGUUCGGAUUGGGGUCUGCAACUCGACCCCAUGAAGUCGGAGUCGCUAGUAAUCGCAGAUCAGCAACGCUGCGGUGAAUACGUUCCCGGGCCUUGUACACACCGCCCGUCAAGUCACGAAAGUUGGUAACACCCAAAGCCGGUGGCCUAACCCUUUUUGGAGGGAGCCGUCUAAGGUGGGAUUGGCGAUUGGGACUAAGUCGUAACAAGGUAGCCGUACCGGAAGGUGCGGCUG
rnacentral:rRNA from 1 species